ACAUGAUAUCAUAUGUUUAUACUUUUUAGUGAGUUUUUAAAGUCAAAAUUUUGGAAAAAAUACCGCAAAAAACACAUUUUUUCAUUUGAAAGAUUAAUAUUUCUCAAACGUUAAUUUUGCAUCCAGAUCCUGAAGGCUCCACAACCCCGUGGUCAACCACACCUCAGGGAGCCAACGUUCCUGAGGAAAACCUGCUUACCGCUGCCGCGACUGCUCCGGAAGCCAUCCGCUACGGGACUGCCGCAGUUUCCUCAAGGUGACCGUGGAAAAGACGCUCCGAGCCGUACUGGUCAACAAAUAUUGUCGGAACUGCCUGGCUCACCAGCAUUCCGGCAAGGACUGCCAAAGUGGGGGCCGGUGUAAGGUGUGCCACAAGAACCACGUUGCUCAACAUGCGACCGUCCCAGCGUCCAACCAGAUCGGAAUCGGCUGCUCCGGGUCCCGUUCCGUCUCCAGCUCCGGUGUCCCAACCCAGUCGCAGCCCCCGGCUCCCCGCAAGCCGUCCCGUCGUGGGGAAUCCUGCUCCAUCGGUCAACACCCUGUUCCAGCACCGAAGCAUAAAUUUCCUCCCGACGGCCCAGGUGAUCUUGGAUACGGGCGCCAAAACCCACGAGACAACGGGGGGGGGGAGGAUGUUUAGGGCAGCAGCGCUGUUAAUGCCAUUAACAUGUGAAUUCGACCCACGGCUCUCCAUUACGGGCGCUAGCCGUAGGCCGAGCUGUGCCUAAACGGGAGAGAGUCAGUGUCUUUUUCCACCCCGACAAAGUCUACACGCUCCGCGACCAUAUAUAAAUCUGAACCAACGAUCUACUUGAAGCACCACUUCUUCCGACUUUUUUUGGGAAUCCUUGUCUUUGGGAACGGAAGCCGACCCGACCAGAUCCACCCUCCUACAAACAAUCCAUGAAAUGGGAUACCCGAAACAACCUGGUCAAGGAUUUACGCUUCCUGCUCAUUCUUUAGAGGAAAUACCGCCACUAAAGAAUAUAAAUAUUGCAAAUCUCUUUUACAGGAACAAUUGAACGAUUUGGUGGGGAUUGA